rnacentral:rRNA from 1 species
CACGGUGGAUGCCUUGGCACUAGGAGCCGAAGAAGGACGUGACAAACGACGAUAUGCCUUGGGUAGCUGUAAGUAAGCGAUGAUCCAGGGAUUUCCGAAUGGGGGAACCCAACAGGUACUACCUGUUACCCAUAUCUGUUAAGGAUAUGAGGAGGAAGACGCAGUGAACUGAAACAUCUAAGUAGCUGCAGGAAGAGAAAGCAAAAGCGAUUGCCUUAGUAGCGGCGAGCGAAACGGCAGGAGGGCAAACCGAAGAGUUUACUCUUCGGGGUUGUAGGACUGCAAUGUGGACUUAAAGAUUAUAGAAGAACUACCUGGGAAGGUCAGCCAAAGAGAGUAACAGCCUCGUAUUUAAAAUAGUCUUUAUACCUAGCAGUAUCCUGAGUACGGCGGGACACGAGAAAUCCCGUCGGAAUCUGGGAGGACCAUCUCCCAACCCUAAAUA